rnacentral:rRNA from 1 species
UUCCGGUUGAUCCCGCCGGACCCGACUGCUAUCGGAUUGAGACUAAGCCAUGCAAGUCAACUCGCAAGGGUGGCGGACGGCUCAGUAACACGUAGUCAAUCUGCCCUAGGGACGUGGAUAACCACGGGAAACUGUGGCUAAACCGCGAUAGGCCAUAGCUCCUGGAAUGGGCUGUGGCUCAAACCUAUAUGGCCCUAGGAUGAGACUGCGGCCGAUCAGGCUGUUGGUGGGGUAAUGGCCCACCAAACCUAUAACCGGUACGGGCUCUGAGAGGAGGAGCCCGGAGAUGGGCACUGAGACAAGGGCCCAGGUCCUAUGGGACGCAGCAGGCGCGAAACCUUCGCAAUAGGCGAAAGCCCGACGAGGUCAGUCCGAGUGGCUCCUGAAAGAACCUUUUGCCAGCCCUAAACANNCUG